GGUGGAUCAGUGGCGAACGGGUGAGUAACACGUGAGCAACCUGCCCCCCACUUCGGGAUAAGCCUUGGAAACGAGGUCUAAUACCGGAUACGAGCACCUACCGCAUGGUAGGUGUUGGAAAGUUUUUCGGUGGGGGAUGGGCUCGCGGCCUAUCAGCUUGUUGGUGGGGUAAUGGCCUACCAAGGCGUCGACGGGUAGCCGGCCUGAGAGGGCGACCGGCCACACUGGGACUGAGACACGGCCCAGACUCCUACGGGAGGCAGCAGUGGGGAAUAUUGCACAAUGGGCGAAAGCCUGAUGCAGCGACGCCACGUGAGGGAUGACGGCCUUCGGGUUGUAAACCUCUUUCAGCAGGGAAGAAGCGAAAGUGACGGUACCUGCAGAAGAAGCGCCGGCUAACUACGUGCCAGCAGCCGCGGUAAUACGUAGGGCGCAAGCGUUGUCCGGAAUUAUUGGGCGUAAAGAGCUCGUAGGCGGUCUGUCGCGUCUGGUGUGAAAUCCCAUGGCUCAACUGUGGGCUUGCAUCGGGUACGGGCAGACUAGAGUGCUGUAGGGGAGACUGGAAUUCCUGGUGUAGCGGUGGAAUGCGCAGAUAUCAGGAGGAACACCGAUGGCGAAGGCAGGUCUCUGGGCAGUUACUGACGCUGAGGAGCGAAAGCAUGGGGAGCGAACAGGAUUAGAUACCCUGGUAGUCCAUG
rnacentral:rRNA from 1 species